AAGACUAUAGACCUGCGGAGUACCUGCGGAGGGAUCAUUAACGUUACCACAUCCAACCUUGCUGCCGGUCGUCCUCAGGGGCGACCGGCAACAAGCACCCGUGACCUGUUAAAGUCCUUAACAGCAUCCGAUCCGCUCGGAUGCCGUUAAAGCGCCUUACACAGUUAUGUCUAAUCGUGAGCUUCCUCUCCUUGAGGAGCGCAACCAAAAUUAAUCGAGACACAACUUUCAACAAUGGAU
rnacentral:misc_RNA from 1 species